rnacentral:rRNA from 1 species
UACGGGGGGGGGCAAGCGUGUUCGGAAUUACUGGGCGUAAAGCGCACGUAGGCGGCUUUGUAAGUUAGAGGUGAAAGCCCAGGGCUCAACCCUGGAAUUGCCUUUAAGACUGCAUCGCUUGAACAUCGGAGAGGUAAGUGGAAUUCCGAGUGUAGAGGUGAAAUUCGUAGAUAUUCGGAAGAACACCAGUGGCGAAGGCGACUUACUGGACGAUUGUUGACGCUGAGGUGCGAAAGCGUGGGGAGCAAACAGG